rnacentral:misc_RNA from 1 species
AAGGAUCAUUCAUAAUAAGUGUUCUACUGCACUUUUUAAACAAGUACUCACCUUGUGUGCAAUGUUUGCUGUUGUGUCGUUUUUUCGUCACGACAGCACAAUACCAACCUUUUAUUGUAACUUUUUUUGUCUGAAGCUAUUUCGAAUACAUAAUUCUAAAUACAACUUUCAACAACGGAUCUCUUGGCUCUC